GUGGAGCAUGUGGCCUAAUUUGACUCAACGCGGGGAAUCUUACUAGGUCCGGACCGAUUCUAUGAUCGUCGUACUGUGGGGUGCUACGUGAUUACUGGAUGAGUGGUGCAUGGCCGUUCUUAGUUCGUGGUGUUAAUUGUCUACUUAAUUGUCAUUGGUUCUCGUAUCUUACGGUACAGAACUGAUAACGAACGAGAUCGAGGCCCGUGGUUGUGUCGUUGGUUAUUAUUGUGUGCGGCAUUAACUACGGGGAUCGCGUAAUACUCCACGGUACGAUCGAAAGACUCGGCAAUAACAGGUCUGUGAUGCCCUCAGAUGUUCUAGGCUGCACACGUGCUACAUUGUGGUUUCGCGUAGUGUGUGUGUGCAUAGAACUGAUAAGAUCCCCCGCACCGAGUCUCAAUUAAUCACUUGGUUGGACUCACCGUUUGUAAUUAUUCGGUAUACUAA
rnacentral:rRNA from 1 species